rnacentral:rRNA from 1 species
CCUACGGGAGGCAGCAGUAGGGAAUCUUCCGCAAUGGACGAAAGUCUGACGGAGCAACGCCGCGUGAGUGAUGAAGGUUUUCGGAUCGUAAAGCUCUGUUGUUAGGGAAGAACAAGUGCAAGAGUAACUGCUUGCACCUUGACGGUACCUAACCAGAAAGCCACGGCUAACUACGUGCCAGCAGCCGCGGUAAUACGUAGGUGGCAAGCGUUGUCCGGAAUUAUUGGGCGUAAAGGGCUCGCAGGCGGUUUCUUAAGUCUGAUGUGAAAGCCCCCGGCUCAACCGGGGAGGGUCAUUGGAAACUGGGAAACUUGAGUGCAGAAGAGGAGAGUGGAAUUCCACGUGUAGCGGUGAAAUGCGUAGAGAUGUGGAGGAACACCAGUGGCGAUGGCGACUCUCUGGUCUGUAACUGACGCUGAGGAGCGAAAGCGUGGGGAGCGAACAGGAUUAGAUACCCUGGUAGUCCACGCCGUAAACGAUGAGUGCUAAGUGUUAGGGGGUUUCCGCCCCUUAGUGCUGCAGCUAACGCAUUAAGCACUCCGCCUGGGGAGUACGGUCGCAAGACUGAAACUCAAAGGAAUUGACGGGGGCCCGCACAAGCGGUGGAGCAUGUGGUUUAAUUCGAAGCAACGCGAAGAACCUUAC